UUGUGCCAGCAGCCGCGGUAAUACGUAGGGACCGAGCGUUAUCCGGAAUCAUUGGGCGUAAAGAGCUCGUAGGCGGUUCAGAAAGUCGGCUGUGAAAGUCCAAGGCUCAACCUUGGAAAUGCAGUCGAUACUUCUGUGACUAGAGUCUGGUAGAGGAGAAUGGAAUUCCCGGUGUAGCGGUGGAAUGCGCAGAUAUCGGGAGGAACACCAGUAGCGAAGGCGGUUCUCUGGGCCUCGACUGACGCUGAGGAGCGAAAGCAUGGGUAGCAAACAGGAUUAGAUACCCUGGUAGUCCAUGCCGUAAACGUUGGAUACUAGGUGUGGCGUUCCGAUCAACGGAUGCCGUGCCGAAGCUAACGCAUUAAGUAUCCCGCCUGGGGAGUACGGCCGCAAGGCUAAAACUCAAAGGAAUUGACGGGUCCCCGCACAAGCGGCGGAGCAUGCGGCUUAAUUCGAUGCAACCCGAAGAACCUUACCUGGGUUUGACAUCAUGGGAAAAGCUGUAGAAAUAUAGUGUCCGUAAGGGCCCAUGACAGGUGGUGCAUGGCUGUCGUCAGCUCGUGUCGUGAGAUGUUGGGUUAAGUCCCGCAACGAGCGCAACCCUUGUCCUAUGUUGCCAGCACGUAAUGGUGGGGACUCAUGGGAGACUGCCGGGGAUAACUCGGAGGAAGGUGAGGACGACGUCAAGUCAUCAUGCCCCUUAUAUCCAGGGCUGCACACGUCCUACAAUCCAGCGUACAAAGGGAAGCAAACUCGCGAGAGCAAGCAAAUCCCAAAAAGCGCUGGCCAGUUCGGAUUGCAGGCUGCAACUCGCCUGCAUGAAGCCGGAAUCGCUAGUAAUCGCCGGUCAGCAUACGGCGGU
rnacentral:rRNA from 1 species